CUACGUAGGGUGCGAGCGUUAAUCGGAUUUACUGGGCGUAAAGCGUGCGCAGGUGGCCCGUUAAGACAGGUGUGAAAUCCCUGGGCUCAACCUAGGAAUUGCGCUUGUGACUGGCGGGCUCGAGUACGGUAGAGGGGGGUGGAAUUCCUGGUGUAGCAGUGAAAUGCGUAGAGAUCAGGAGGGACACCGAUGGCGAAGGCAGCCCCCUGGGCCUGUACUGACGCUCAUGCACGAAAGCGUGGGGAGCAAACAGGAUUAGAUACCCUGGUAGUCCACGCCCUAAACGAUGGGUACUAGCCGUUUGGUGCGCGAUAGCGCUGAGUGGCGAAGCUAACGCGUGAAGUACCCCGCCUGGGGAGUACGGCCGCAAGGUUGAA
rnacentral:rRNA from 1 species